CUUUUCUAUCAUUGUGACGAAUACGCACACGGUAAUAAAAUUUUAUCAUCGAUAUCGAAUACAGAUUUCAGAAAAUUGGUGUCAUAUUGCGAGGCUAAUAACGACUGUUUAGAUAAAGAAUGUUGUGACCUCAUUUUUUUACAGGAAGAGUUCUCACAAUGCACUUUAUGACACAAACAUGCAUUAUUAUUUUUGCAAUUUUAAUUUCAAAUAUUACGACAAAACCUCAAAACUUACCAACGUUACGCAUUGAUGAACAUGUAACAGUUGACAAAGAAAAAACAUUUAUUACAUUAAAUUGAAAAAUAAUACGGAUAUAACGAAAAAAAAGUACUGUAUUUCAUUGAUUAGAACGAU